GAAAAAAAUUAAUCUGAGUGGAUGUAAAUGUUAAGUAAUUAAAAUGCGUGAUAUCAACAAUAAAAUGUUAAGUUUGUGUCUUUACUUUAAUAUAUCUAGUUUUAAAUUAAUCUGCAUUUGUUCAAAAAACAAGAAAAUGUGUAUUUUAUUCCUUUACUAAAUUAAUCUAAGUAAUCCCAGCCAAGCUUUUUAGGUACACACGCACAACAAACAAUACCUUGUUUUAUUUACUCACUUGGUAAAAAAAAAAAAACUCCCCUUCCUGUUUCGUUGGUCUGGAAACCCCUUGCAUUCCUAACGAAGACGAACACGCGGACUGAAUUUAAGGUGAUUCUCCUGACAAUAGGCUACACUGGAUAAAGGUUUGUGAUGACGAUGAUGCUGCAGCCAUCCAAGAGGCCAUCACUUCAUUUGUGCUCAACAUCUUUAUGGUCAGCAAAGCCAGGGAUGGAGGUCUCGAGAAGAAAUUUGGAAUAGCCAUUGAGGGAGCGGAGGUCCUUUUUUGCAUUCCCAGUGUAGCACAUGCUUGCUCCUACCUUAUGGGCCUUAUUUAUGCUUUGGAACUAAGCUACCCAGAGAAACUUAAAUACACCUUUGAGGUAUUUCAGAAGAUCUUCCUGGAGCUGGAGGAUGUUAACAAAAACAUGUCCUCCAAAAUCCACGAUCACAAGAUCAGCUUACUGGCCUAAAAGCGAUACAGACAUUGUUGAAUGUAGAGGGUUUGAGUCCCUCUGGUAAAGUUUUACUGUUCAAUUUCUCAGGUCUUUUUCAGUGCACUUUCUCAAGUCACACUAAUCCUAUUUCAUAUAGGGACCAUGUUUGUGAGUGUUAAUGUUAAAGGUGCAGUUGAAGGAAAGAUGACAGUUAAGAAGUCAGAAACUAUAUUGCACAAUGUGAGUUUUUUUCAAUAGAAACCCAAAGAAACUGAAAUGUAGGUUUCUUAGAAGAUCUCCAUUGUCACACGGGGAUCAUACAUAUGAUCAUACAUGUGCAAGCGUGUUGUUUUAAAGUCUUAAGAGUAUGUUACUGUACAGGACUGAAAAACGCAAUUUUAUAGAAAAUAUUCUGUAAAGGUGUCUGAAUGGUUUCUUAUGAAGACAAUAAAGCCUGUCAAC